CAGGCCUAACACAUGCAAGUCGAGGGAUUGAUGGGAGCUUGCUCCCUGAUAUCAGCGGCGGACGGGUGAGUAACACGUGGGUAACCUGCCUGUAAGACUGGGAUAACUCCGGGAAACCGGGGCUAAUACCGGAUAACUCAUUUCCUCGCAUGAGGAAAUGUCGAAAGAUGGCUUCGGCUAUCACUUACAGAUGGACCCGCGGCGCAUUAGCUAGUUGGUGAGGUAACGGCUCACCAAGGCAACGAUGCGUAGCCGACCUGAGAGGGUGAUCGGCCACACCGGGACUGAGACACGGCCCAGACUCCUACGGGAGGCAGCAGUAGGGAAUCUUCCGCAAUGGACGAAAGUCUGACGGAGCAACGCCGCGUGAGUGAUGAAGGUUUUCGGAUCGUAAAGCUCUGUUGUUAGGGAAGAACAAGUGCCGUUCGAAUAGGGCGGCACCUUGACGGUACCUAACCAGAAAGCCACGGCUAACUACGUGCCAGCAGCCGCGGUAAUACGUAGGUGGCAAGCGUUGUCCGGAAUUAUUGGGCGUAAAGCGCGCGCAGGUGGUUCCUUAAGUCUGAUGUGAAAGCCCACGGCUCAACCGUGGAGGGUCAUUGGAAACUGGGGAACUUGAGUGCAGAAGAGGAAAGUGGAAUUCCAAGUG
rnacentral:rRNA from 1 species